GAUGAACGCUGGCGGCGUGCCUAAUACAUGCAAGUCGAGCGAACGGACGAGAAGCUUGCUUCUCUUAUGUUAGCGGCGGACGGGUGAGUAACACGUGGAUAUCCUACCUAUAAGACUGGGAUAACUUCGAGAAACCGGAGCUAAUACCAGUUAAUAUUUUGAACCGCAUGGUUCAAAAGUGUAAGACGGUCGUGCUGUCACUUAUAGAUGGAUCCGCGUUGCAUUAGCUAGUUGGUAAGGUAACGGCUUACCAAGGCAACGAUGCAUAGCCGACCUGAGAGGGUGAUCGGCCACACUGGAACUGAGACACGGUCCAGACCCCUACGGGACGCAGCAGUAGGGUAUCGACCGCAAUGGGCGAAAGCCUGACGGAGCAACGCCGCGUGAGUGAUGAAGGUCUUCGGAUCGGAAAACUCUGCUACUAGUGAAGAACAUAUGUGUAAGUAACUGUGCACAUCUUGACGGUACCUAAUCAGAAAGCCACGGCUAACUACGUG
rnacentral:rRNA from 1 species